CCUACGGGAGGCAGCAGUGGGGAAUAUUGCACAAUGGGCGAAAGCCUGAUGCAGCAACGCCGCGUGAAGGAAGAAGGGUUUCGGCUCGUAAACUUCUAUCAACAGGGACGAAAGAAAUGACGGUACCUGGAUAAGAAGCCCCGGCUAACUACGUGCCAACAGCCGCGGUAAUACGUAGGGGGCAAGUGUUAUCCGGAAUUACUGGGUGUAAAGGGUGAGUAGGCGGCAUGGUAAGCCAGAUGUGAAAGCCCUGGGCUUAACCCGAGGAUUGCAUUUGGAACUAUCAAGCUAGAGUGCAGGAGAGGAGAGCGGAAGUCCUAGUGUAGCGGUGAAAUGCGUAGAUAUUAGGAAGAACACCAGUGGCGAAGGCGGCUUUCUGGACUGAAACUGACGCUGAGGCACGAAAGCGUGGGGAGCGAACAGGAUUAGAUACCCUGGUAGUC
rnacentral:rRNA from 1 species